rnacentral:rRNA from 1 species
UACGGGGGGGAGCAAGCGUUGUUCGGAUUUACCGGGCGUAAAGGGCGCGUAGGCGGCCACCGCAAGUCGACUGUGAAAUCUCCGGGCUUAACCCGGAAAGGUCAGCCGAUACUGCGGGGCUAGAGUGCAGAAGGGGCAACUGGAAUUCUCGGUGUAGCGGUGAAAUGCGUAGAUAUCGAGAGGAACACCUGCGGCGAAGGCGGGUUGCUGGGCUGACACUGACGCUGAGGCGCGAAAGCUAGGGGAGCGAACGGG